AACAAGAAGAACAAACAAUGCAACAUAAAACCCCAUCUCCGUCCGUUGUUUAUAAAAAUCAUCCCAUCUCUCUCUCUCUCUCAGAAGAAAUCAGUACUCUCCUUCUCUCUCUCUCUCGAACAAAAACAAAAAAACAAAAACAAUGAGAAGAAUGAAAGAACAGAAUUAGGGUUUAUGAUUCGAUGACCCAAACAACUAAUUAAACAACGAUGUCAAUGGUCGCGGAGAUGCUUCCAAGAAUCAACAACUGAUUCAUUCUAUAGUGUGAUUGAUAGGUGUUUAAUUGACUCAUUCAGUAGAAUACGUCAACACAAUUCCUGUUGCAGGAGGAGAACACUUUUCACCGUCUCCAAUGUCUGUCAACGAGAAUGCUCAUUAAAUUAAGUCACGAAUUCGGAUUUUGAUCUAUGUAUUUGGUUUUUGUUUCGUCUUCUUGCUCCUUAUGCUUCAAUUUUCCAUACUUCCAAGGAUGAUGAGGAUGGUGGUGACCCAAGAGUGUCUUCUCUUUCUUUUGGGGUUUUUAACAAGAAGAGCCAAGAAUCAGUAUACCUGGAAGGAAGUGUUCCUGUUGCAGGAGGAGGAGGAGGGGGUUAGGGUUAAGGACCCUUUCCACCAUCCCCUUGUCAAUGAGAUUGUUUAAACUUGAAAAUUGAUUAUGGUUUCUUCUAAUUCUAUAUGUGGAGGUCAGAGAGAUGGAUUGAAGAAUGAACGAGAAGAAUGAUGACCCGAACAGCAUCAACAUCAAUCAAUGGUAAUCCCCUUCUUUGUAAGUUCAAUUCCUGUUAAGUUUUGUUUUUCAUUGAUUAAAAAACGUACAUCACUGUCUCUUCUCAUGAUCGUUAUCCGAGGAGGAGGAGGACUUGAUUUCAGGACCAAGUACAAGCUUAAAAGUUACUGGGUUUUUCUUAAAAAAACUUUUCACUUUUGCUCUUUAUAUAUAACUACAAUUUAACGAUAGUUCUUUUGCUAAUUCCAUGUGCAGAUCGGUGGAGAUGGUUUGAAGAAUGAAUGACGUUUCAGACCUUGGGGAUCUAGAGUUUAUUUUCUGGUUUUCUCAUUAAGGUUGUUGUUUGAUUCAAACUUGAAAGCUAACGUUGGUUUUCAUCUAAUUAUAUAUAUGUGCAGAUCAGAGAUAGUAUGAAGGAUGAAGAAGACUCUGACGGCUUAAGGUUUUAUUUCAAUCAUCAACACAAUCCAUACAAAGAAAGUCGUCUUCAGUGAUCCUAAUGGAAGUUAUAGGAUACGCUGAAUUCUGAGUUAUUGUACUUGGGCUCCCAUCAGCUGCUUCAUGGCAAGAUGUGAAGGAUCAAAUGCGGAAAGCUGGUGAUGUGUGCUUUGCUGAGGUCACUCGAGACUGUGAUUAGCUGUUCGUGCAAAUCUCCUCAACGCUACCACCGGUAACAACGUACCCAGUACCGAGAUCCUUCCCGAAUCAGCCACCAGCCUCACCCGGCUUGUGUUGGAAGAUUUAGAGUAGGAGACAAAGUAUUCUGACUUCAUUUGUUGGAAUUUCCACCACACUAUGAGUAGUUUUGAAUUUAUAUCAUCAGCUUUGCUAUGUAGAUGUUAGUAUGAAUACUCAGCUCAAGGCCGUGAAACUAACUCUGAAAGGGAAAAACCCCCGGUUACAUUAAGUGUUAUGGGAAAUAACAUUCGGUAUUAUGUUCUUCCGGACGGACACUUUAAAUCUCGAGACUUUGUUGGUUGAAGACACACCAAGAAUCAAGCCUAAAAAACCAACUGCUGGUGGGAUGUCGACAGGUCUAGGGCGGGGUCGUGGACGUGGAUCCCAAGUUUUUUUAGUCCUUGUUAUGACAAUAGACUAAUAGAGGAUUGUGUGUUGUUUAUGAGGCCAAUCUCCUGAAGUAUGAACCGAGCAAACAAAAUUAAGAUUUCAAACCGGGUUCAGAUUUAUAAUACUAAACCGACUGGGAACAUGUGCAAAAGUACAAACAAUUUUUGGUUUAGAUAAAACACAGGAAAUAAACAAAAUUAAGAUUCUA